rnacentral:rRNA from 1 species
AUUGAACGCUGGCGGCAUGCCUUACACAUGCAAGUCGAACGGUAACACAUUUUCGGCUUCUUACUACUGGUGACCGGUUGAGUACUACUUCGGAAUGCGCCCGAUCCUACUUUUUCAUGAGGCGUAACCUUUGCUAAUUUCCCCUACUAUCUCCUACUACCUGCGGGUGAUAUUCGGACCUCUCCCUGCCUUGCCCGCUGAUGUCAGAUUAGGUAGUUUGUGGUAUAAAUGCGUACCAAGGCGACGAUCCGUAGCUGGUCUGAGAGGAUGAUCAGCCACACUGGAACUGAGACACGGUCCAGACUCCUACGGGAGGCAGCAGUGGGGAAUAUUGGACAAUGGGCGCAAGCCUGAUCCAGCCAUACCGCGUGGGGGAAGAAGGCCUUCGGGUUGUAAAGCGCUUUUGUUGGGAAAGAAAAGCAGCAGGUUAAUAAAGCGCUGUUCUGACGGUACCCAAAGAAUAAGCACCGGCUAACUUCGUG